rnacentral:rRNA from 1 species
UGGGGAAUAUUGCACAAUGGGCGAAAGCCUGAUGCAGCGACGCCGCGUGAGGGAUGACGGCCUUCGGGUUGUAAACCUCUUUCAGCAGGGAAGAAGCGAAAGUGACGGUACCUGCAGAAGAAGCGCCGGCUAACUACGUGCCAGCAGCCGCGGUAAUACGUAGGGCGCAAGCGUUGUCCGGAAUUAUUGGGCGUAAAGAGCUCGUAGGCGGUUAGUCGCGUCUGCUGUGAAAACUCGAGGCUCAACCUCGGGCUUGCAGUGGGUACGGGCUGACUAGAGUGCGGUAGGGGUGACUGGAAUUCCUGGUGUAGCGGUGGAAUGCGCAGAUAUCAGGAGGAACACCGAUGGCGAAGGCAGGUCACCGGGCCGCAACUGACGCUGAGGAGCGAAAGCAUGGGGAGCGAACAGGAUUAGAUAGCCCUGGUAGUCCAUGCCGUAAACGUUGGGCACUAGGUGUGGGGUCCAUUCCACGGAUUCCGUGCCGCAGCAAACGCAUUAAGUGCCCCGCCUGGGGAGUACGGCCGCAAGGCUAAAACUCAAAUGAAUUG